rnacentral:lncRNA from 1 species
AUCAUCUCUCAGUUACACCUCACUUAGUUUUCAGGACAGAGCCUGGGCAGAACAGAGCCACAUCCUUGAGUAGAAUAUCACAAGAAUGACUCCUCUCCCAGUUCCUGAUAGAGCCCUUAUCCCACUCUGAAGCCUCAGGAGCCUGCCUUCUCUCAGCGUUCUUAUCCUCAAAGAAUCCCUGGAAGAACCAAAAGAAGCAAGGAAGUUGAAUACUUCAUUACAGUACAGCACCAUGCGGUAUAAAGUGCUGUCGAUAACCUCACUGUGACAAAAGUCUCGGUCACUUCUGGUGGGAUAGAAUUCAGAUCAUUUAGCUUAUCAUGGGAAGACUUGUGAUGACUGAGCCUCAAACCUCAGAGCCUGUUCAUCACCCGUGGCUUUCCUCCUGCAUCUGCCUGUUCUCACCUGCUCCACCCUGUCUCCUUCCCCUGGUUUAUGCUACCUUUCUGCUUUCCUUUUCAUUGGCAGAAAUAACAUGUAUUCAU